UGACCCGGAUUCUAGUCAGUUUUCAGUUGAUAUUCUUGUAUUCGAAAGUGAGUUUAACAUUUUAUCCUCAGUCAGUUCGAUUAAUGAAAACAUUUCCAAAUUUGAACAAUCAACUGAAAUCUUGUUUGCUUUUAUUUUGUGCCCUUUUCAACUCUUCUUUGGGUCACUGGUAACAUCUAGUGUAACUUACAUCAUCCGAUCUACGAGAAGUAUCACAAGACAAGUGAAAGGUUACACUUUGAUUGAAGGUUAAUCAACAUAGACUAUAAAAGCCAUCGUUUAUAUUCACUUGUAUCAUCGUUUAUUAAAUCAUUUACAUCAUCGACAUUAACCAUCAUCAGUUAUAUUAGUUUCAGUGAACAAGCAAGAGAUAAUUGAACAAAAUUGUGUGAUUAAAAACGGUAAAUUAUACUGUAACUUGUGACCAUCGAUUCUGGUUAAACUCUAAUUAUUCUUCUAAUAGAUGGUGUUAUUGUUUGUUUCAUUUUAAAAAUGAAUUUCAUUUGUUGUGUUUCCCUUUAUAAUCUUUGACCAAUUGUCACAAUUAACAAUUAGUCUUUUAAAGUGUUUUUAAUCCAUUAUCUUUCAGUUUUUAAAUUUAUUAAUGCCGCUUUUACCAAAAACACCUUCUCUACAAUCUGAACUUUCUCCUGAAGAAAGGCUAGACCGAGUAAAGGCAAUUUGCUCUUGCCUCGAGUUGAGCGAUGAAAAGUUGAAGGAAAUUAUGGCCACAUUGGAGGCAGAGUUUGAACAUGGAUUGUCAGAUGAAGCUGAAGCUACAAUUAAAAUGUUGAUAACUUAUGUACGAGAUAUUCCUAGAGGUGAUGAAAAAGGAAUGUUCAUGGCUCUUGACCUUGGUGGAACUAAUUUUCGUGUAUUGACUGUUACAUUGGACGGAGCUUCAGCCUUGAUUGACACUGAAACAUGUGAGAUACCUAGCAAAGUAAUGGUAGGUUCAGGUCGUGAUCUUUUUGACCGAAUCGCUGAAUGUGUCUACAUAUUUAUCCGUUCACGAAACAUUACGGUUCCAUAUCUUCCUAUUGGAUUUACCUUCAGUUUUCCUUGUAAACAAGAAGGUUUAGACUCUGCUAGUCUGAUUCGGUGGACAAAAGGAUUCAAAUGCUCCGAUGUUGCAGGAGCUGAUGUGGUAAAAUUACUUCGAGAAGCAUUGGUUCGUCGUAAAGGUGAUUGUAAAGUAGAAACAGAUGUUGUUGCCAUGAUAAACGACACCACAGGUACACUUAUGUCAUGUGCUCAUCGUAACCGUGAGUGUCGUGUUGGUCUAAUUGUUGGAACAGGAACCAAUCUUUGUUACAUGGAAAAACUGGCGCGUAUCCCCAAAUGGGUUCCCAAAGAAAAAGAUGAAGAUCCUCCACAAGUGGCCAUUAACACCGAAUGGGGUGCUUUCGGAGAUAAUGGUGCUCUUAACAAUAUACGCACAAAAUGGGAUCUUCAAGUUGAUGAAAAUUCCCUUAACCCAGGAAUGCAACUAUUCGAGAAGCUAAUAUCUGGCAUGUAUUUAGGUGAAAUUGCUCGGCUUAUUUUGCUUCAUCUUCACUCAAAAGAUUUACUCUGUCCUGGUGUCCCAGUUCCCAAUCGAUUGGCUGUUAAAGGUGGCUUCUCGGCCAAACAUUUAUCUCGUAUUGCCUCACGAAAGGAAGACUCAAUUUACAAGGUUUUCACUAAAAUGGAAACGGCCGAUUUCGACUCUGUAGACGUUGAUAUUGUGAAACAUGUUUGUGAUUUGGUCGCUGAACGAGCAUCCAGAUUGGUUGCUGCCGGUCUUGCAUUGGUACUGAAACGCUUGGGUCGUGAAAAGACAAUAAUCGGCUAUGAUGGAUCCGUAAUGAGAUUUCAUCCUUUCUUCCGUAAACGAGUAGAGCAAAAAAUUAAAGAUCUAUGUAAUCACAAGUUUGACCUGAUGUUAUCCGAAGAUGGCUCCGGCCGUGGAGCUGCUCUAGUCGCUGCUAUUGCUUGUAGAAAUCUUCACUCGGACAAAGUGUUUUGAGAGUGAUUUGCUUUAGUUUGAGCCUCAUUUAAUCACAUUACUAAUUUAAUUUGAAUUAUUUAGUAUAUUCCUUGCCCUUUCAUUUCCUUUCCCUCCCUUUUCUCUCGUUCAAAUGUCUCUGCAAUGACAUUUUAGUUAAUUAGUAAUCAUCUAAUUAAUCGAAGCACAAAAGCACCCAGAGUUUUAACAUUUGGAAACAGUAAAAAUUAUCAACAAACUAGACAAAAAAGCCCCAUUCAAGCAGAUAAAUCAAAAGACUUACACAACGAAACGCAAAUUGUUGAUAUUUUAAACUGUUGAUCUCAACGCAUUCAAUUAAUUAAGAUGAACAUCAUCUUAUUUUGUUCCCUUGACUUUCAUUUUCUUCCUCAUGUGUAGAAACAUUAUUACUCAAUGAUAAUUACCAUAAUAACACUAAUAAUGAUAAUGAUGAUGCUACAAUUAUACAAUAAUAACGUUCAAUGAUAAUCAUUACAAGGAUAUCUUAAUAUACAUUAAAACAAAGAGACUUUAGCUGCCUAAUUCCCCUUUGAUUUUUUGUAAAAGUACAAGCAAACAAAAGUAAUAGGAUGAUUAUUAUCAUUGUUAUAUUAUUAUAAUAUAUUUACUGUAAUGAAGUUAAUUUUCAAACAAAAAAACUGAUACAAAUUUUCCUCUUUUUUGCAUAAAAUUGAUAUAUUUCCCAGACGAAAAUUGUAACAAUUAGAAAACUAAUUUUUGACUAAAUUUUAUUUAAUCAUUUGCUCCUCUCUCCUGCUUACCAAAUUUAGAUCCAUUGAAAUGAUUUCAAUGUUUUCAUCAUCCCAUUUGUAUGAUCAAUUGAAUACAAUAUUUUAGUUUUUAUUUUGUUUUCAUGUUCAAUUUAAUUUCGAUUGCAACAAUUGUUAAAUGUAAUGAGCUUUAGUAAUUAAGUGUGACGAGUGUUGGACAAAGCCUAGGUGUCUCCAAAGGGUCGAUUGAUUGUUGUCCGUGUAACAAUUUAUUUUUGUUCAUUUCAUUUUCCUUUUAUCUAGUCUUUCAUCAAUAAAUAGCUCAAUGAUUAUUCAUUUGCGAGAUGUAAAAAAAGUUUACAAAUUAAUAAAAUGAUAAUUUUAAAAAUGA